rnacentral:lncRNA from 1 species
GCCUUAAAUUUUCUUCUUCUGUAUCAUGCCAAUCAUUUGUGAUUGGCUCUUUUAACUCUUUAUUUAAAAAUUUUAAGUGUGUAGGUUUGGUGAGGAUAUCAUCUGGCUAAGACUUUUUACUCCUUCAUAAACUAUGAGCUAAAAUGAUCCCAACUGUUUUAUUGUUGUCUUCUUUUCCUGAACUGCCAGAAUCUAAGCCACUUGAUUUUUUCCUUAUGGAAUCAAAGUUUCACUCCAGGAUUAAAAUCGACAUCCUUGUAAUGUGCUGGCAAUGUGAGAUGGAGACCUAAGGGGAAGUAGCUUUGAAGCCUUCUCUCUAGAGUGGGAGCAAGAUCAUCAUAAAGGAGACAAGCAGAGGGAAAUCUGAAGACUCAAGAUCAGCCUCCUGCCACCAAACUUACCCAACAGGGGACACAGUCUCACUUCCUGGAGACAGAGAAGCUUCCCCUUCACCUAAAGAGUCAAAGCCUUUAUAGGGAAUUUUCUGGAGUCAGGCCCAAUGCCUCCUUUCUGGGACUGUGCCCAGGAACUCAUUCUUCUGUAGCUUACAGCCUGCAGACACAUCACUUCAGAGGGCAAUUGCUCUAGAAGUCUAUGAGAGCUGUAACACUUCUCAGCCAUGAACACAUGCUAUGUAAGGGACAGAUCUUAAUCAGUAUCCUGGCACUGUUGGGAGAGAGCUUUGAGCUGUAACAUGGUUUGGAGCUGUAAUGGCUCUCAGCAAUCAUCUACUGUUACUGAGAGUUCAAAUUGUUUCAUUUAUAUCCCUGGUGGAAAUCUGUCUGAAGUUAUUGUACUUGGAUAGGGAAUAAAGUGCCUCCUGUUUGCUUUCA